rnacentral:rRNA from 1 species
UACGAGGGGUGCAAGCGUUGUUCGGAAUUAUUGGGCGUAAAGGGCGCGUAGGCGGUUUUGUAAGUCUUGUGUGAAAUCUUCAGGCUCAACUUGAAGACUGCACGAGAAACUGCAGGGCUUGAGUGUGGGAGAGGUGAGUGGAAUUCCGGGUGUAGCGGUGGAAUGCGUAGAGAUCCGGAAGAACACCGGUGGCGAAGGCGGCCCGCUGGGCAACUGCUGACACUGAGGCGCGACAGCGUGGGGAGCAAACAGG